AUGUCAUCCUUAUGGACAUAUAAAUACUGCUUGUUCUUCUCUCCCAGAGGUGUAUUUGUGCACUCACAGGUGCUUACCACAUUUAUACAAAAGGAAACAGAAAUUCAACGUCUUGGAAAUCUCAAAUUAUCUUCAAAAUGCAAGUUACUUUUCUUAAUAAUCGUAAACUUUUGGGAUUGUGAAAUAAGCAACACAAUUUCAUUCAGAAAGGAACAUUAACCCAAACACAGAUUUUUUUUUGUAAGGAAAUUGGAUUUCCCCCCAUCUUUCUCUAGAGACCUGGGAAUAUUACCAAGGACUAAAAUAAUUAAUUGUCACUAAAAGACACACUUAUCAAAUAUCAUUUACAUCAAAUUUGAGGUUCCCUUUUUUCCAUAUUUAAUAGCCAAUUAAGAUGUAGAAAUGUGCCUGUUAAAGAAUAUCACAACUAUGUUAAUAGUGAAGCAACAAUUUUAUGAAAGCUAAUCCAGGAGAUCAUUCCGAAUUUUCUUACAAAGGAAAUUAGCAUUGAUAGUCAUCUUUCUGGCAGCAGAAGAAAAUGAAAUAUAUCAUUUCCAGAUGUAUCUAUAACACAUAAAAAUAUAUUUGAAUUUUAUGGGCUUAGUAAAAUAAUAAUUUAGCUUUACAAAAUUGUCACAUUGAGAAAUUCGUUUGCCCUAGAAAGUCAGUAUUUAUUCCAUCAAAUACUAUUCAAAGUCUUUAAACAAUACAUACUUUACUGAAUUUAAUUAAAAUUAGAUUAAUUUAAUUUUAAGAUAAAACAUUAUGAAGGCCACCGAGUAUAUCACUGAUGGUCAUAUAAUGAAUCUUUUUUUUUUAAGUUUUUGUUUGACUGUGGUUGACGUGCAAUAUUGCUUCAGUUUCAGGUUUACAAUAUACUGAUUCAACAUUUCUACAUAUUAUGCUCCCCAAAGCAUAGCCACUACCUGCCACCAUAAAAUGCUAUUACAAUAUCAUUGACUAUAUUCCCUAUGUUGUACGUCUUGUUCCCAGGACUAAUUAUUUCAUAACUGGAAGCCUAUAUCUCCCACUCUCCUCCACCCAUUUUGUCCAUUCCCUCACUACCACCACCACCACCACCACCACCCCCAUGGCAACCUCAGCAGUCUCUGUUCUCUGUUGCAGUCAUUAUUUUUCUGAUUUUCAAGAUGUCUGCUUCUGUGGGCAUUAAUUUCUUUUUCAGUUUCUUUUUUUGUUUGUUUUUAUUUUAAUUCCAGUU
rnacentral:lncRNA from 1 species